rnacentral:rRNA from 1 species
UACGUAGGGCGCAAGCGUUAUCCGGAAUUAUUGGGCGUAAAGAGCUCGUAGGCGGUUUGUCGCGUCUGCCGUGAAAGUCCGGGGCUCAACUCCGGAUCUGCGGUGGGUACGGGCAGACUAGAGUGAUGUAGGGGAGACUGGAAUUCCUGGUGUAGCGGUGAAAUGCGCAGAUAUCAGGAGGAACACCAGUGGCGAAGGCGGUGCUCUGGGCCGGAACUGACGCUGAGGAGCGAAAGCGUGGGGAGCAAACAGG